AUUGAACGCUGGCGGCAGGCCUAACACAUGCAAGUCGAACGAGUGGCGGACGGGUGAGUAAUGUCUGGGAAACUGCCUGAUGGAGGGGGAUAACUACUGGAAACGGUAGCUAAUACCGCAUACCAUCGGAUGUGCCCAGAUGGGAUUAGCGAGUAGGGGGGGUAAAGGCUCCCCUAGGCGACGAUCCCUAGCUGGUCUGAGAGGAUGACCAGCCACACUGGAACUGAGACACGGUCCAGGAUCCUACGGGAGGCAGCAGUGGGGAAUAUUGCACAAUGGGCGCAAGCCUGAUGCAGCCAUGCCGCGUGUAUGAAGAAGGCCUUCGGGUUGUAAAGUACUUUUAGCGGUGAGGCGUUAUCUGCAGAAGAAGCACCGGCUAACUCCGUGCCAGCAGCCGCGGUAAUUC
rnacentral:rRNA from 1 species